GUGAGAUUGAUCAGCUUUUAAUUAUUAAUCAGUUUGUUAGUGUGUAUUUCACGUAUGUUCACUACAACAGAAUUAGAUUAUAGGGACACAUGUUUGGGACACUUUUGAGUAAGUGUCCCAUUUAUACUAAAACUUAAAAAAAAAUCUACUAAUGGCUAAAUAUAAAGCUCAAUCCAACCAAAAAUAAAAGAUUAUUCUACUCAACCCACCACACCCAGUCUAUUUGGUCCGAUUACAAACAUAAAAGAAAAAAAAAAAAGGAAAAUCAAUUACCAUAUUUUCUUCUUUCUUUACUCAAUCCACUGAAAUUCUAGACGAAGAGCCUUUCCUGUUGUUCUCCUCCGCCACCACAGCUGACGAGAUAGAGUUUCGGCGGUUGCUAAAUGCUUAAAUAAGUGUUGGUAAAUUAGCAGCAUUCUUUUAGAUUAUAGCGACACUCUUUAACUGUCACUAUAUACCUAGCGACCCCACAUAUAGCAACACUUUUUAAAAAUGUCGGUAAUUUUAACUAGCAGCACUUUUUUGACAUGUACCUAUAUUUAAAAGUGUCGCUAUAGACCGUUUUUGUUGUAGUGGUUAGAUCCCUCUCUCUCUCUCCCUCUCUCUUUCUCUUCAUUUUCACCUUUAGCCACCAUGCAUAUAGGAUCUAGGUCUA
rnacentral:lncRNA from 1 species